rnacentral:pre_miRNA from 1 species
UGAUGAUGAUGAUGAUGAUGAUGAUGAUGAUGAUGAUGAUGAUACGAAAUUACGGGAUCAUCAUCACCACCAUUAUCAUUAUCAUCAACGUGU